rfam:Myotis lucifugus cont2.33508, whole genome shotgun sequence.
GCCUGUGUAACUCAGUGGUUAGAGUAUUGGCCCUCACACCAAAGGGUUUCAGGUUCUAUUCCUGGUCAAGGGCA